rnacentral:pre_miRNA from 13 species
UAUAACUUAAUGGAGCUUCCUCCACUCCAAGUCUGAAAAGGAUGUGAGGGUGUAUCACUGCUGCAAACUCAUGCAAUUCCCAUAAGAAGGCAUGGUUUUUAUUGCAAUCUAAGGGCCUGCAUGAAUCUGAAGAAGUGACUGUCUAGUUUUUUCUGGAUAUUGGAGAGAUCAAGGGAAAUCCACACACACUU